CGCCCUGGAAAAGAGGGAAGGGACAGGGUUGCCACGCCCAGUAAGGACCCAGCUCCCAAGCCCACCUCCCCCAUCGAGGGGGCCUUGCCACCUGCGCAGGGGCCAGCAGCAGGUUGCGGACAGGUUCUGGUUCAGGGAACACCUGGAUCUCCUCGACCAGACGGACAGUGCUGUCCCCACUCCUCACAGCCUUGUGGAGGGACCCCGUGGCUGCAGGGAGACAGAGAGCGGAGACUGUCACUGUGUCCACGGACCGUCUCGUGCCACCUCUGACUCCGGAUGGCCUCCCAGCUGUCAGAGAGAAGGCUCCUUCUGGACGCACAUGCCGAUCUGUUGGGCCGGUCCCUUCUAUGCCGCAGAGAGUGUGGAAAUCCUGUUGCGGUCCCGGAGCCCUCUACUCACUGGUGCCCAGGUACAGGACCAGGUGGCUGUGCCCGUCGACGCCCUGGACCGUCUCCACUGCGAGUCGCGUGUACUCCACGCCAGACUUCACCAGCACAGGCGUCCCCACCACCUGCUCAUCCAUCAGGAAAUGGUCCUUCAUGAAGGUCAAGGCUUUAUCAGAGGAGGGGCCCACGGAGCACUGAAGCGGGGGGGAGGAGGCAGAUGAUCAGGUCAGCUCUCGCCUUCCCGUGAGCUCCCACUGCCUCUUCCCUCCCUCCCUCCCACGCUCGAGCCUGCUUUGGCUCCCUCUCUCCAGGGAGGUGGCUAAACUCUGGAGCUGCGGGCCCCGCAUUCCAGCUCUGUACAUAGCGCAGUGCGCAUCGUAGGCUUGCUGCAGCAGGAGAUGCGCGCAUACCGGAAAGUAACAAGAACAGAGCGUGACACGGAGGAAGUGCUCGGAUCCUUGUCCUCCACACCCACGAGUCCUGUGUCAGGGCCAGCCCUGACUCCGUCCCCUGACAGCGCGUCCUCAGACAAGUUACCCCACCUCUAUGAGCUUCCGCUUCCUUGUCUGCAAGUGAGCAGCCAGGCCACCCCCCUCCAAGCAGACUAGAAGAGGACUCUGGAAAACUGACUGGAGGUCAAGGGUAAGACUUGAUGAUAUUGACCUUGAAGGUCCCGAGAAGACUGCCCAGCCAGGCCACCUCCAGGGGACAACAGUGGAGCCCACACUGCCAAGUCUCCCCAGUGCAGUUUCCAAACAGUUGGGUGGUCCCCACCCUCAAAUACAGCGGAGGGCCAGGGCUACCAGACCAAAAUAGACAGACAGACAGACAGCUAAAUGAUUUAGAGAAAAGAGAUUUCCACGGCAAAGUAGCGUUACUGUCUUCGGAGAGCUAAGUAGAGAGAGUGUAUCUGCAAAACAAGAACAGGAUGCUACAGAAAAGGACUCUACUUCACAGAAGGAGCCAGACGCCACGUGUGUCCUGCAGGACGACACACGGCCGCAGCAAAGGGGUCUUGCCCCAAAUCAAACUGAUGUGGCUCAGUCCCUAGGCCCAACCUCCAGUGAAUUUACAGGAGUCCCUCAAACCCCACCACAGAGAGGCAUGGUCACCAAGAUCAAGACAGUGAAAAAUUCUACACGACAAGUAAAUGGCGAGAGAAAAUAAGAAGAGGGAAAGGGAACAUAUGGAUUAAGAGACUUAAAAGAACAAUAAUCCGGGGCACACUCUGGGUGGCUCAGUCGGUUGAGCGUCUGACUCUUGAUUUCAGCUCAGGUCGCUGCCUCACAGUUUGUGGGAUCA